CUACGGGGGGCUGCAGUGAGGAAUAUUGCACAAUGGGGGCAACCCUGAUGCAGCAAUGCCGCGUGAAUGAAGAAGGCCUUCGGGUCGUAAAGUUCUUUUCUAUGGGAAGAGAGAGGACGGUACCAUAGGAAUAAGUCCCGGCUAACUACGUGCCAGCAGCCGCGGUAAAUCGUAGGGGGCGAGCGUUAUCCGGAUUUACUGGGCGUAAAGCGCAUGCAGGCGGCUUGAAAAGAUAGACGUGAAAGUUCCCGGCUCAACUGGGAGAGGUCGUUUAUGACUAUCAGGCUUGAAUUAGGUAGAGGAGAGCAGAAUUCCCGGUGUAGUGGUGGAAUGCGUAGAUAUCGGGAGGAACACCAGUGGCGAAAGCGGCUCUCUGGGCCUUAAUUGACGCUCAGAUGCGAAAGCGUGGGGAGCAAACGGGAUUAGAUACCCGGGUAGUC
rnacentral:rRNA from 1 species